rnacentral:rRNA from 1 species
UACGAAGGGGGGCUAGCGUUGUUCGGAAUUACUGGGCGUAAAGCGCGCGCAGGCGGCUCUUUAAGUCAGGGGUGAAAGCCCAGAGCUCAACUCUGGAAUUGCCUUUGAAACUAGAGAGCUUGGGUACGGGAGAGGUGAGUGGAAUUCCGAGUGUAGAGGUGAAAUUCGUAGAUAUUCGGAAGAACACCAGUGGCGAAGGGCGACUACCUGGCCUGUUCUUGACGCUGAGGCGCGAAAGCUAGGGGAGCAAACGGG